AUGCACGCUGGCGGCGUGCCUAAUCCAUGCAAGUCGAGCGAACAGAUGAGGAGCUUGCUCCUCUGACGUUAGCGGCGGACGGGUGAGUAACACGUGGAUAACCUACCUAUAAGACUGGGAUAACUUCGGGAAACCGGAGCUAAUACCGGAUAAUAUAUUGAACCGCAUGGUUCAAUAGUGAAAGACGGUUUUGCUGUCACUUAUAGAUGGAUCCGCGCCGCAUUAGCUAGUUGGUAAGGUAACGGCUUACCAAGGCAACGAUGCGUAGCCGACCUGAGAGGGUGAUCGGCCACACUGGAACUGAGACACGGUCCAGACUCCUACGGGAGGCAGCAGUAGGGAAUCUUCCGCAAUGGGCGAAAGCUUGACGGAGCAACGCCGCGUGAGUGAUGAAGGUCUUCGGAUCGUAAAACUCUGUUAUUAGGGAAGAACAAAUGUGUAAGUAACUAUGCACGUCUUGACGGUACCUAAUCAGAAAGCCACGGCUAACUACGUG
rnacentral:rRNA from 1 species